rnacentral:hammerhead_ribozyme from 13 species
AAUCAGUAAAGUGUCACAGUAUUACCUGAUGAGCCCCAGGAAGGGCGAAACUGGUC